CCAGGGAGGACAGAACCUAUCUUCCUGUUUUCCAAUGGGAAUUAAAUAAGAUGGACAUUCUCCAUAAACAGUAAAUCGACACACUCCUCAUUGCUUUCUGCAGAGAAAUUCUCUAAAGGCCACCAAAGGGCCCUAAGGAACAAGACAUGCAACUGCACCCAGGAUGAAUUCUGGAUAAGAGCCAGACAUACACUGGAGCAUCUUUCAACCUAGUGCCAAAAUCUGACAUGGAACGGCAGAGUGAAUGCAGCCAACUACAGCAGAGUACAAGAGGAGUCACACGGGUCACAGCUACUCGGCACUUAAGCUGCUUUUGCGAA